GACGGGGCCGCACAAGCGGUGGAGCAUGUGGUUUAAUUCGAAGCAACGCGAAGAACCUUACCAGGUCUUGACAUCCCCUGACAACCGAGAGAUCGGGCGUUCCCCUUCGGGGGACAGGGUGACAGGUGGUGCAUGGUUGUCGUCAGCUCGUGUCGUGAGAUGUUGGGUUAAGUCCCGCAACGAGCGCAACCCUCGACCUUAGUUGCCAGCAUUCAGUUGGGCACUCUAAGGUGACUGCCGGCUAAAAGUCGGAGGAAGGUGGGGAUGACGUCAAGUCCUCAUGGCCCUUAUAGGUGGGGCUACACACGUCAUACAAUGGCUGGUACAAAGGGUUGCCAACCCGCGAGGGGGAGCCAAUCCCAUAAAGCCAGUCGUAGUCCGGAUCGCAGUCUGCAACUCGACUGCGUGAAGUCGGAAUCGCUAGUAAUCGUGGAUCAGAAUGUCACGGUGAAUACGUUCCCGGGUCUU
rnacentral:rRNA from 1 species